rnacentral:rRNA from 1 species
UACGAAGGGGGCUAGCGUUGCUCGGAUUGACUGGGCGUAAAGGGCGCGUAGGCGGUUCGUACAGUCAGAUGUGAAAUUCCUGGGCUUAACCUGGGGGCUGCAUUUGAUACGUGGUUGCUUGAGUGGGGAAGAGGGUCGUGGAAUUCCCAGUGUAGAGGUGAAAUUCGUAGAUAUUGGGAAGAACACCGGUGGCGAAGGCGGCGACCUGGUCCUUGACUGACGCUGAGGCGCGAAAGCGUGGGGAGCAAACAGG